CAAAGUUGUGACUCGGCUUAAAACUGUGUUAAAAUUCUGAAUGUUGGUUUUGAAUUACUUUACUGGCGGAAGAUCAUUAUCAAAAUGACUGCUUCUUCUUAAGAAAAGAGAUACUAUAAAGUCAUUUCUAUGGAUGUCUGUAUGCAUCAAAUGGAAAACUUCAUCACUUCAAGAGAAUGAAUGCAUGCACGAAACCCACAAUUCAUACAGAAAUAGCUGAACAGCAAGAUCUGUGUAUUAUGCCUUUGGAAGAAGGAGAUGGAGGGGAAAAGCAGGCUUGGAAGGAACCCUAAAAUAUUCUGUGGAAAAGUGAAUGACUGAACAGCAUAGCUGAAAGAAAUUAAAGGAAGUGGAGAAAGGACAAGCUUCUCAGUACCACAGCUACCCCCAUCUGAUGUAAAGAUUGCAAGUUAGUAACAUGCCAUAUUUUGUGUAAUGCUGUCCACAAUAAUUUCAAAGAAAAUCCCUUCUUUUUAUGAGAAUGAGGUUCCAAGCCGCUGCCAUAUUUUUCAGCCUGAACAAUUUCUAACAAGUUAUGUCAUACCACAUCUUCACAAUCAUUCAAGUUACAAAGCUACAUAUUCCCUUGCUUUAAGUGGAGCGAUCUGCUCACCUCAAUGUUCUCCACAACUGAUCAUAAAACUAACAAUGGUAGGGCACCAGAAGGUCAUUAUUUCUGCCUCUACUCCUUUCUGGUAACAUACCUUGAACCUCUUUAUAUUCUUUCUACAGAAGCAUUCUGUCUGUAUAGUCCUAGACUGAAUCUGCAGUGGUAUACUUGGACAUGAUUCAAUAUUCCCUUUUAAACUUUUAAAACUGUAUGGUUUCCUCACUUCAAUUUGAAGCUCUUCAAAAUUCUUCUAUAUGCAGACAUUAAGUACACUGAUGUAGCAGCAAUGAUCCUGUUGCUUCAAACUAACAGUACUGUUGGUUCAAACUCUAGAGACAAAAAACCUGAAGAAAGAUGGAGUGAAAUGGGAAUGUAGACACUAAGGAACUUGGAAGCUGUAUCAUAUUUAGUCAGGGUUCAGAUCAAAUAUAGUAUAUUAUACGCCAAGUCAUAAAAGAGUGUUGUUCAACAGGUGUCUGGAAGGAGUUUGAAGAUCCACGAUAUAUCACUUAUUGUGAAUGCCUACACACAGCGUUCACCUUUUGGGAACAAAGUGUGUUCAAAGGUACUUGUGGCUUGCAGGGCUGAAAGCUACUUUUUUAGAUUAGAUCUUCGUUGCUGAUAUGCAGCUAUAUGAACACAUGCUAUUUUGAGUGGAAAACAGAACAAAACAUUUUGCCAGUAUGCAGUAAAUAUGUCUCAUGCAGUUUUAGGUAUCUGCAAUACCUAAACUUAGGCUAAUCAGCGUAGACUUCCUUUAUAAGUAAAAGAAAGGCAAAGGCACUUUUAGGAUUUUUUUAUGGACUUCAGCAUGUAAAAAGUUCACUCUAGAAGAAACUGUUCUUCUUUACUGCAUAAAAAGGCAACCUAGAUGUCUAGAGCAAGUGUAGAUACCUACAGUUUACAUAGAUGUAUUUAAUAAGGUGAAUCCCAGCAACAGUGUUGGAGCUGACUUCACCUGUGGCCAGCAAAGGUCUUGACUUAUCUUGGCUGACCACCUGAUAGUAACUAAGUACUGGAAUUGUUUCUCACUUAGUGACUGAUGAGGAAAUGGAUUGGAUUUCACAUUAACUCUUGAUGUAUUUUGGUGCAGGAAAUAUUUAACAGGUGGUUGGGGGUUUGGGUUUUUUUGUUUGUUUGGGUUUUUCUCAUCUAGUUUGCAGUAUGAACAUGAGCAGAUAGUCUUUAUUAAAAACCCACAAAUCUGGCAUAUAUACAGCUAAUGAACUUCACAAGAAUAUUAGGAGGUAGAGAUAAACCCUAUCUCUAGAUUAUAGAGAAAACUUAAGAUAAAUUCUGCACAGGGUGGCAAAAGAUCAAAAGAAAAAAAAAAAAAAGAUCAAGAGAAAAAAUACUUGAAUUUACCAAAAAUUUGGGAUGUAUUAAUGGCAACAAAAGGAAUCAUUCUGUAAAAACCAAACUAUAGUACUUCCCAGUUUGUGCAGCAGGAUAAAAAAUGGGCAGUAUAAAAUUCACUGAGUAUUCAAGAUCCACAUUGAAAAAGUAACUUUAUGUGGCAAAACCUAAUGUCUUCAUAUCUAACUAUUAAAUGUGUGAAAUGGUAUUGAAUGUACUAAGCUAGGCUCCCUUGGUGCCAAUCAGAAGGACCUAUGCUCCUAUGAAUGAGCUAAACUAUCUUGUACACUGAAGCAACAUUUUGACAAUAGACAUGGAGGUAUGUCAUACCAGCACUAUUCACUUAUGUGGUAGUUCCUUUCUUUUUUAUACUUUUUUCUUUUUCUCUCCAGAAAGCUGAGGAUUAGAUUCUUACUAGACUUAAGAACCCAGAUCUCUCACUCUGUCUAGUCUCUGACCACUGACUAGUGGUGUAAUAAUGUAGCUUUAGCAACAGGCAGGAACCAGCAGCCAUAUUGAAUGAUAGAAAUCACGCUUGCAACGAUUUCUGUUAAAGGUAGUGCCAUCCAUGUAAGUAUUCUUCUGCAAUGUAGCUGUGGAGACACUUUGUUUGUCAGUCUGAAGUGGUGGUAGACAGGACAGGUGACUAAAUGAUUUCCCCUGAACUUCAGUGUUUUCAGACUUCAGCAUUUCAGCUACAGGAGCAUGUCUGGCAGCAAAAUGAAGAUACAUUUUUAGACUUCACCUUUAUCUCUGAUGGUGCUUGCAAGAACUCUAUUUUAUUCUCUCUUGUUCCAAGCCAGUAAAGAUAGGAUCUUUAUGUUGGACAUCCAGGUUCCUUUCUGUGAAGCAUGACCCUGAGAGGCCCCACGAUGUCUUUUGUAGCCAACUAAAAUGUAACAUGCCAAAAGCUAACAUUAACAUAAUUCAUGAUAUGGAUACUUAUAAUCAACUCAACACUAACCACACUAACACUGCACGAAAGACCCCUCCAGAAUUUGAGCCUUGCUGUAGUCUGGAGAUAUUAAGCCCUGGUGUACUGAAGCUGUGCAGUCCCACAUAUUCUGAAGCUUUAAGGGUUAAUUUAUUUCAUUUGUCCACUUAUUUAUCCACAAGUAGAGAUGACUCUAGCACUCUUAUUUUCAGUUUCUGUUGAACAAAUGUCAAGAGAAGACAAAACAUGCUUUGAAAGUGCCAUUCCGCAAAAUGCUAAGUAUGGACUAGAAUCUGAUUUGCCAUCAGUUUUUACCAAGUACUUUAAUAAUGAUCACAUUGCAUUGGAUAAGGUAAAUGUGGACUCGUGCUUGCAUAUCUAAACUUAUAUUUCAAAUCAAAGAAAGCAAAUUCAUGAUCAUUAAAUCGCAAUCAGUCAAGCAUCUAUAACAACAGGCCAGAUGUGCACUCACCUAUUUAGCUUCUAGUUGAGCUACUGCUUGAAAAUGAGAAAUACUCUAGAACAAGUAAAAUGGUCAGGUUUCUAUUCUAGUUUAAAGAAAUGUGGAAAUUAUGUAUAUGCUUUGAGAGCAUUUUUCUUCUGUCAUCCACAUGGAUUCUUUCACCUCAUUUCACUUGUAUGUGGCCUUUAGAUUCUGUAGCUGUAACUAUGAAUAAACAAACUCCAUAUUCUCAGGGUACAGCAAAGCAUUUGCUAGACCUUCUUUGGCAAUAGUGGUAAUUGUUUUCUUAUUAAAGUCAGUUAAUAGCACAUGUCGUCGUCCCCCCCCCCCCCCCCAAAUAAAGAAACAGAAAGUUACAUGCGUGAAAUAAAAAACAAAAAUUCUUCUCUAUUUCAGCUUGUGGAUGCUCAGGUAUUGUUAAUAUUGAUGCAUAAGCCAUGUGUUCUAUUUUAUCCAUACAAAAAGGAGAUGUUUCUAAGCAUUCCUGGAGUCAUCCAACAGCAACUUAGGGAACUGCAUACAUUUUCAUAGUAGAUCAGCAUUUGGACAUCUAAAUUAUCCCUUCAGUUUCUCAGCUUUUCCUAGCUGAAGAUAUGAAUCUUGCUAUUUGCUUUUCAUUUUACAUGUAUUUAUAUGUAGCAUCCAGUACGUGAUGGAAUACAAUGUGCUUGAGAGUUAUUUUUUUAUUCUCUAUCCAUUUCAAGCUAGGUAUGUAUAAGGACAGACUAUUCAAGCAGGCCGUCCAGCAUGUCUGGGAAGCUCAGUCCUUAAUGGCAGCCUCCAGUAUCAUAAGCAGCAGUCUUCUCCUGUUUUUUCCAUUUUCAGGGUUUAUAAGUUUUCAUCUGUUAUCAAGCUAGAUAUGCAUAUCCAUAUAUCAAUUAAAUCAUCAUUUAUAAGAGGUGAGACAUCAAUACCAAACAAAAGACAUAAACUCACAAAGAUGAAGAAACAUCAGUCAAAACCUGAAAUCAUACUGAAAGCCCAAAUUGUUAAGAAACCAAAACAUUGAUGCAAAUAAGAAGUAAUGUUCUUUUUUUAUUUACAUUCAGUUUUACAGCAUAUAGGGCUUCAAGUUUUAUUCUGCAUCCAGGAAGAUAAGAACUUUUUAAAAUGAAAAUUGAACUAUCAUAUGAUUGAAAAGGCACCUAAAAAAAAACUCCUACAAAAAUUGUUGUAUUUGGGAAGCCAUGGAAUAAAUCAAUGAGACAGCACACCGUACACAUUUCAAAUUCAGCUUUACUUAGCAGCAGUUUGUAAUUGGAGAACAGUUAAUUCUCAAAACCAUGGACUGAAAACACAGUGAAUUCAGAGAAAAGCCAUAAGUAAUUUCAUACAACAUCUUCCAUACAUUUCAAGGAAGUAGGUAAACCAGAAAUGAUUAUGUAAAAGAUGCAGGAACAAGAACAGCAAACCUUACAUAUGGGAAAUGAAAAUACAUAUUGGAAAAUUUACCGUUGAAAACCUUGAAAAGUAGAGAUUUGUUCGAUACUAAAAAAUUCAAGGAUUUCAAAAUAAACAAUAUGAAGACACCAGGAAAAGUAGCAGCAUCAACAAAAAGGGCUAAAGGUGUUGAGACAGUAGAUGAUUUUUGGUGAUGUAAGGAAAGAUGACAAAAAUAAAAGGACUAAAAUAGAUAAUUCUGUUUACUGACUUUUAAGGUCAGGAACUUGCUUUUAACCUCCAUGCUUGCUAUGAACGUAGCACUUAUUUGUUCUGCAGAAGAUUCAUUAUAAAACAAUGGGGAAGCAUAUGCUGGUUUUGAACUCAAGGAGAAUAUCAAAGCAGAAUGUCAUAAAAAUAGGCUGUUUGUAAAGGUCAAAACAUUUGAGUUAAGAAGACAAAAAUAUAUUUAACUAUUUGAAUAUAAACUUUGUUUACAGAAAUUUAUAGCAAUUUCUGUAUGUGAAAGGAAAAACCCCACCAUUAGUACUUUCUGAAAGCCAAUGCUCUCAUAAUGUCUUGUGUCUUUAAGUUUAAAUGUAUAUAUGCAUAUGCACAUAUAUAAUUUCCUGAAUAGAUUACUUUGGAAUUUGGUUUCCAUAAAGCUACAGCAUGGCCAUCUGAAAAAUUUCCAUCCGUGUAUCAUCGUCUUUUCAGAGAACAGUAGAGGUUAAUGUUUCAGUGUGUGUAUACAUCUAUGUUUGGUGUUGAUUUUAUUUGUAUAUAUUUGUGUUGGAGACCCAUAAAUGCUGUCAUUGUAGCCCAUUUGAUGCAUCUAGCCCAUUCUAUUUGCCUUCGAUAGCUGGCAACAGAUGUUACAACUUGUAACAGAUGUUGUAUUUCCUGUACAUUAAAGUAGAACUGGUGCUGAAGAAAUCAUCAAAACAGAAAGAGAAGGUAGAAUCUGCCAUUCCCAAAGAACAUUUAUUGAGAUCCACAGGUCUGGAUAACAGCACAUGCCAAGGGAACUAUUUAGCUUUCUGUUGUCGAUCUCUUUAUAACAGACUGUAGCUCAGUUCUAGCCUAACAUUCUCAUCUUUGUUUCCUAUCUGGUCACCUCUGCUGUUUUAGUUUGGUUGUCCCACAGCAUGGGAUUUUUGAUACGAUCAUCUUGUCUCAUUGUUUUACCACACUAUAAUCAGAACCAAGAAUUCAUAAUUGUAAUACAACUCCAGUUUAACUAAUUUAUUGAGCUUCUGCUGAGGUUGGAAGUUUUGGGCAGGGUUUUUUGGUAUUUGUUUGGGGGUUUUUUUGUAGUUGUUUUUUUUUUCUUUCACUUGUAUAAGGACAAAUAAUUAAAUGCUGGUUUUUUAAAACAAAAACCUGUAAUUAAGUGGGAAAUUUCUAGAAGACACAUUUCAACAGAGUUUUCCAAAGAGCUGUCUCCUCAUUCUUCCUCUCCCCCCAAAUCAGCAUACUGGAAGUAUGCAUUUGUUCUGUAGUAAUGAGAAGUUAAUUUACAGUUUCUUCAUUCCUUAUUUGGAGAAAUCUAUAUGAAGAGGGGAAAUUAUUUUUGGUCUAGGAACAUAUGGGAGAAAUGGGAGAAAUCACAUCUCACAUUAACCAUGAUCUUCUAACUCAGAAUAAAGACAAAGAUACUAAAGAGGAGCUAUCUGAUCAUCUUUGUAUCUUUUGAAGGUAUAGUUAAAUAGCAUCACGUUUCUCCCAUUGUUCUGUCUAGUUCUCCUUAUUAUUGUGAUUACAUCUUCAACAUUCUUAUUCUCUUCUGUUGUCUAUGCAAGUUGAUUUCUCAGUUUGAUAGAGCAUAAGGACUUGGGCUGUAAUUCACUUUAUAUUGUCAAUAUCAGUUUGACUACACCCUCUUCUACAUUCCACAAGGAAUUUAUUAUCUUCAGUCUUGCAUUUGUUGGAUCAAGUUGCUAGAUACCAUAAGGUGUUAAAAGUCUACUAAACUUCUUCUAUUGAUAAAUCUGUUUCACAGUUACUGCCCAGAAAAAGCUAUUGAGAACAGUCAAUGUUAUACUAAAUACUUUGCUUAGAUACUGGGUUGUGGAAAAAAAUAGAGCGUGCAACCUUUUUUGGAAAAGCGGUAUCUUAAAAUGGUUUAGAUUACAAAUUUCAAAAAAACCAAUUGUUUGUACAUAUUGUCAUUAUUUCAUAUUGCUUAUGCUUCUUAUUCACAAAACUUUGAACCUCAGGUUCUCAGUUCAGGGGUCCUAAAAAUCUUCUAUCUUACUGUGAUAAAAAGUAAACCUUUUUGCAGCAUAGGUACAUUUCAAAACCCAAAUAUACCCAGUUCCUCCUAUACAAAUGCAAGAGUUUAAGUUCAGAUUACUUUUAAGCUGUUAAUAUUGCUUGUCUGCUCACCAGAAAAACUUACUGGAGGAAAUUGACUGGUUUAACUGACCAAAGCUGAAAUAAUUUUGUAAAAAUAAAAGGUAUGGAUAAUUUUCUGUGCUGCAUUCAUCAGAGAAAAAUGAGACAGUCUCUAAAGAAAAAUUCUGCUUUCUAACCACAAUUAUCACUGCAGAUUUCUUGUCAUCAAUGUAAGUUUAUCAAUAACAUAUACAUACACGCAUUGUGAAAAUAUAUUUUUGUAUUUUUCAUUUCAACAUUACAUCAAAAUACCAUUUUCAAUCUCCAAGACUGAAAGGCACAAUCAGACAUGCUGAUCAUAUCAGUGUGCAAAGACAGCUGUAUGAUAAAUAUUCUAAGUAAAUUUCUGAACUUCAUAAUAACAAAGAUGCUGUGGUCAAAUUGUUGUGCUCAGAUUUCUGAAUAAUUCUUAUUUGGACACGCAGGGAGGCAUUGAGUGUAUUCACACCCCGACAUGAGCAAUCAGGAGCAGGGUGCUUAGCACCUUGCAAGUUACUGGUGCUCAGCACUUUUGGAAGAAAGUGCACUUUUGCAAGUGUGUCCACAGGGUACUAUGAUGCAGCAUGAUGCUGCAAUACCUAAAGUAGCUGUUACUAACUUAGUUUGUGUACCAGAAACAGUACUUCCACGUUCAUUAUGCCUGGGCUAAUUAUAGGGCUGAAAAGUCUUUUGAGGGAAAACCCUAGAAAGUGUGACGCACCUGGAAGGAGAGAUGAUGAUGGAAUAAAAUAAAAUCAGAAAAUAUUUUGAAGAUAAGUAGAGGAAGUAUAAUUUGAGACUUUUCUUGACAACUUUUUUCAUUGAACACCUCUUAUCUUACAAGGUGGAGCAAGAUUUGUUCAUUUUAAUUCAUGGGGGGUUGUUGGUUUUUCUUUUAAAAAAAAAAAGAGGCCAGGGUAUUUUUUGAUAAUUAGCAUUUGAUCAGAGCUGAAAAUAUAGAAUAUAAUAUUGUUUGCUCACGUAGGGAAAUGGUGCAGCCAAGGUUAAAAAUAGCUUUACCGUUGCUCAAAAGGAACAUGACUAAGCUGAAUUAAUGUGUAAUUCUACAAAACAUUUUUUAAAGGUGUAUCUAACAGUCAUAACUCUUAUAUGUGUUAAGGACUAAAAUAAUUUCUUAGAGAAGGAUGAGAUAUUUUUAUUUCUUUCUCUUCGCAAAAAUUCUAAUUUUACCUCUGCAUUUGUUUUGUAUUUUUCCCAUUUAAAUCAUAAUGUUAGGUUAAAGUAUAUCAAAUUAUUUGGCACACCAGCCAAAUUAUUUAGGGCAUUUUUAAUUUUUAGUGUAUCAUUCCAUGACAAAAAGAAAGAUGCCAGAUUUCUUCACUGUGUAAUGUCUAUAGCUUUUUUCAUUUUAAUAAUUCUGAGUGAUCAUAGUCUACUUAUUGAACUUAACACUGUCAUAUUUUUUAUUGUGAAAAUGACCAAACUGAAGCUGCAACAACUCAUUUUCAAAGCUGCUUGAUAUCUCUUUUCACAUGCACACGUGUAAUGCUGACAAUUCAUCAUUAUUAGCUUCAUUUUUAAUAUCCCAGUUAAGAUUAACAGUUGUAACACAUUGCUGUGCAAGUUUCUAACUUUACAAAUGUGCUUUCUUUAAGAAAAAUCAUCACUUGAAAUUUACAUAGUUAAAUUUUCCUAAAUAAAAGGAUGAAGAUAGCAAAUGUAAUUGUUUGCAUAAAAGUUUGAGGGUAUUUUUAAUCUUAAAGUAGUGGCUUGUGAUUGUUGAAAUAUAUGAAACUAUGCUGUUGGUUUAUUUCCUGAAGAAGCAAGCAGCUUUUACAAAUUAAACUCAUUUAACAGCUCUGUUGACAAUGACAACAAAAUUGGGAAAAAUAUACCACUAUCUCUCAUGGACACUUUUUUCCUUCAGGUUUAACGAAUAAGGAUUAUAUCAAACAGAUCUUGUUAAUCAAUAGUGUAGAUAUGACACGGAUGAUAUACAAGAAGCAGAUCCACUGAGUAAGCAGUCUAUUUCUACAGUCACACUUCACACUGUAAAAUAGAUUGGUCAAAUUCAAUCCUAUUGUAACGAGAACUCCCUGGCAGUAGAGUUUUGCUUUCUUCCACUAAAACAACAGGCUCUCUCAUCAUUUUGGAAGACAUGCAUAACAUACUAAAAAGAAAAAUUUUAAGCCUAUGUUUAAAAGAUAUUAUUUGCCACAGAAUUUCAAGGAGUCUCUUAAAGCAAAACAAUUAACAAUAUGUUUGAAUAAAUUACAUUUGUUUAAAUUUAAUUAAGGCAUAUUAUGGCAUUUAAUAAAAAUAUAUCUGUCCUCUCAACAUGCAAGUUUUCUGCGAUUUCUGAAUUUUUAAUUUUCAAAUACUAUUUCUUGGAUCCUUCAAAACAGCAUUUGUUCAUUAUAAUUAUAUCUGUAGUUUCGUUCACUCCAUACAUUCAUAUUUGUAAUUGUUCCUAUAUUUUGCUAUUUUCAGAUAAAAUUAUGAGAUUAAAAAGUGUGGAUUUAUUUUGUUCUGAAAACCCAGUAAGAUCUAGAUUCAAUUUUUUUCAAAUUUACUCUGCUAAUAAACACCAUAUGUAAAGGGCACGAAAGUGACUUGUAGUAUCUGAAAGCUUGUGGAACGUGACAUUUGUUUUGCUGUAGUUCAAUAUUUUAAGUUGCAUGCUACAAUUUGGCACAGCUCUUGAACACACAUAUGAUAUUCAGUUAAGAUGAAUCUCCGUUCAUGAAAGAAUCUGGACUAGCUUCUGCUGUCUGCAGACUGUACUGCAAAAAUGUAACUGAGACACAGCAGUAAUGUGCACAACUGGAGAAGGGUUUGCUGACAAAAGGUGAUAAAAUUUGCCUAAAUGUAGUUGAAAAUACAUCUUUAUUUGCUACCGAUACAUACGCAUCUAUCUGCACAACUAGACUGCAUGCCUAAAAUAUGUGUCACAAAUGGUUGUCAAACUCAUUAAUCAAAGGUGCUGACACUGAACCACUUUUUCUCCUUUUUCUCCACUCUGCUACUGCAAAUGUUAGCGGACCUGAUAGCUCUUGUCCAAGCCUCCAUCUCUGGCAGACAUUGAAUUACCUUUUCUACUGAAGCAAUGUGAAUCAUAGAAAAGGAGACAUGCAAAAUGGCAAGUUGUGUGUUGUCAGCACAGUGACAGCAUCUAGUUCAGUAUCUCAUUUCUAAACUUCUCAGUGGUUUCCCUACCACUUUGAGUAGGAGGAAAAAAGAGCAGGUAAGGAAUAGUCAUAGAAUUAGGCAAAAAGUUGUCACUCUACACUUACUGAGGGUGUGGGCUAGUCAAGAAUACCUUCCAAGCAACAGAGCAUUCCUCAAUUCAAGUCAGGUGAACUGAAACAUACAGACAACUUGUUAUUUGCAACAUCUAGUGAAAAUCACCAUUAGAAUAAUAAAAAUAUUUUUAGUUCAGUGCCUGAAGCCAUCUAAAAUGGGAAUUAAGCAAUUCAGAAGCAUUUCCUCUUAUGAAAGGUCCUAUCAUCCUCUCUUCUAGAACCAGUGUAUUCAACACAGCUUGUAACAGUUCUAAAUUCUCACAAGUUGAUGACCUGACAAAAGGAUAUUCAUCUAUGUGCACACUGAUGUCACCAAGAACCUUCAGUCUCACUAACACAAAGCUAGAGAAAUCUACAGUCUUGGCCAAAUACUCCACAGUAGACUAUGGCAAGCUGAACGCUUAUGGCGUGACUACCAUUUUUUAUUGGUGUAUACAUGCAUCCACACAUAUGCUUAUUUUAGUAUAGUAUUUUAAGCACAGUCCCAUAAUGAAGGAUGGAGUCACCUGUGGCCUUCGAUAUAUAUGUAUGAACAGCCAUCCACUUGAAUUUACUGUGACAUUUCUCACUAACAAGAGUGAGUGCUUUUGAAAGUCUGCACACAGCUAGCCCAGAUGCCCAGGUGAUGCUGAAAAGAAUGAAAUUACUGUAUUUCACUGCAAUAGAGUGAGAUGGUUGAACUAAAGCUACAUUAAAAGGGGAGGAAAUAAACACCUGAAGUUUGUUCCUACCUUGACUAAGGUCUUAAAAUUAUUUAAAAUAAGGAGAUACAGUUGCAUGUAUAUCCUUUUCAUCUAUACCCUUCUCACAACUCCCUACCUCAGAAAAAGGGACGGUUGCAUCACAGGGCUUUGCAGGAGCUGAGGAUGGAGAGGACAAGAAGGACAAAUCAUCUGCAGAAGUGCAAAUUAAAGGUAGGGAGUGACAUGAUGGAGAGCAUGCAGCUCACAGAGGCUGGCAUGCACUUCCAGAUGCACCCCUAAGGAGGGGUUGUCAAAGGAUGUCUUGGAUGUGUAACAGUCAUUGCCCAUAGAGAUGCAAGCAAUGAGUGGAAGUAUAACAUUUAAUACUGCCUGUUGUCUGUGAACAGAUGUUUGUUAAGUCAUCUCAGUCCAUUGUGCAACCCUAAUAUUCAGGACUCUGGUUGGACAGCAGAGUUUGGUCAACAAAGUUGUCAAAUGCUUCAAGAAACAUUAGCAUUGGCUCCUCUCAGGCAUUACUUUGGUCCUGGUGCCAUGUGGUGCUUUACUCAUUGACUAACUUCAGGGUCAAAGGUCACCAACAGAACAGGGAUCUCAGAAGGACCUGAAGUACAAUUUAACAUCAGUUCUGCAGAUUCAGAGGACAGCCAGAAGCAUAAAAUUCUUAAAUAUAAAUAUGAAAAAGUUUACAGAUAUUUUUCUGAAGAAUAUCUACAGGUGUUAUUGUAACAUUCAAAAGAUCCCACUGUGUCUUAGUAUUCAGCCAAUGCUCUCACAUGAACAUAUAGUGUCUCUGAAAUCCCCAUUCUUUUCACUACUCAUAAUUUUACCUUCAUUACACAGUUAAGUCCCUCUUCCACACUAAUUCUCACUCUCCCUUAGUCUAUUUCUCAUUAUAUUCCCAAAUCCUUACAGUACAUGUGUUGUCCCAGUUCUUCCAUAUACUGUUUUCAUCAUUUCCACUCCUUCGUUAUUCAUCUUCAUUCUCUAAUUAAUCCAAGAGACGGGUAGCUGUAUGAAGCAUAAGGGUUAGCUAACCCAGGCAACAGAAUCCCCCCCAAAUAACGUCUCUGUAACUGCACAUAUUCCAGUAUUGUUCUUACAUACCUGUGAAGGUAUAUUACAUAAUUAUAUGCGUUAAUGCACCAGGAUUCAUUCGUAUGCAACAGUGGAAAAACUAUGCCAUGAAGUGUGGAGAGGGGAUUUUGGGAAAGGGCACAACAGCCAUUUUGUUUUAGAUCUCCUGGCAUGUUCUUUAUUUAGCCUCGAUAAAGCACCAUGAGGCUUGAAACCAUGCUCUUAGUCAUUUUGAAUGUUCACAGAGCAGAAAAAAAAAAAAAAGAAAAAAAAAAGCACAUGCUUUUUGCAUGGAUGCAAUGGGAACAGAAGGCAAGAAUUACAUCUACCAGUACCUAGAAAGUCUACGGUAUGGAUGGAUUUAUUGGACAUUUGUAAAAACAGUGUCAGAGCACAAUUUUAUCCUGGAAAGAUCCUGUCCCCUAUCACUCUCAGGCUUUUCCUCCCUCUUUUUUCGAGCCUCCUCUUUAGCAUCUUGUUCUUACUUUCAAACUACUUCCUUUUAAAGACCACUCUUACACUGUGCUUCCCCCCCCCCCCCCCCCCCCGUUUUUACAUUCAGUUUGUUCAGAAGUAAAUCCCGUGGCUUCUCCUAUUUUCCAGCUGUUUAGUGCAUGCUACCUCUCUCUAGACUGAAUAUUUAAGAGAGCACAGGGAACUUAGGUACUGAGAAAAGGAAAGGCAGUGAACAGCUUGAAACAGUAAGCAGUGUGAGAGUUUCAAUAGCCGAGAAAGUAAAAUUGUGAGACAGAGGACGGCGUGGUUGAAGACGAAGCAGCUUAUUUUCAGUCCUCCUUUUCCCAGCAACACGUUUGCUUCCUAUAGCUAAGUCUGGAUUGCACUAACAGUACCAUCUCUCCAAAUUAUUUCGGAAUAGCCCAAUAUCCUAAGAAGGAGUAUUUCUGUAAGAGUUUCUCAUCAGCAUUCUCAAGAAACCUAGAGAACACCUUGCAGCAAAACCUGGAUCCCUAAAAAUCACAUAAGCAGAUGCUUUUGGCCAGUUUAAGGGGGUGGGUGGGGGGUAAGAGUCCUUCUGCCUGUGCCCAGCCACUCCACCCUCAGAGCACGCAAAUCUUGAGCCACAGAGGACAGAGGUAAGAGAAACACUGCUGUAAAUUUAACACUUUCCAGUUAUAAACAUUCCUUCUUUCCAUGCCGCUUCAUCUCUGCAGAUGCUGAAAUAUACCUGUGAAUUAAGAGAUUUCUAUACCUCAAAUGAAACUGAUGAACAAAAGGAAACAUUUUUACAAGUGAAAUGAACAGGCGAAGUCUGUGCAAACACAGAUCUGCAGAUAGGAUAACAUUAUAAACACCAGGAAAUAAAAUCAAUGGUUGAAUGACAACAGUACCAAACUCCCCAAAAAUAAUGGUCAGCUAUAGCUGUUUAACUGCCUGUGACUGAGGACUCUAUCUUGUUAUAACUCAACUCCCAACAGAGUACAUGCCUCCUUCUAAAUAUAAGUAAUCAAAAUCAUGAUUUGUGUGUACUUGUGUAUGAUAAAACCUGCAGGAAUUAAAGGCUUGAUUAAAAAAACGGUAUGACUGGAAAGUGUAUUUUAAUCCUAAAAACAGAGAAGUCUCUCUACACCACUUUGUUUGCUAUGUUGUCAAUUCUAUUUAGCGUUCUUGAAACUUUAAGCGGAAUAACAAGAAUUAGCUCUGAAAAAUCAGUUAAUUCCAAAACGUUUUGCUUUUAGACAAGUCUUUUUUGAAAAAAAUUGUAACUGGCUCAUGGCAGUGAUAAGUAAAUAUAAAAUGGCAUUUCGGUUUUUUUUCAUCCUGUUUUCCUCUUUCUGACUGAAAUCUACUAAAGCCGUCACCUCUGCUAAAGAUGAAGUUUGUAAAUUUCUGAAAUAAUAAUACAAUUUUUUAAAAAAAUAUUUUUUUUAAAGUUGGGAGUAAAACGCCAAACUAGAGCACCUUCUGUUGGUCUGUCACUAAUCAGUUGUUAUUUUUUAGAAACAAACAACCCUAAAAUCACCCAAAAGAAUGUUGCAAACUUUUUUUUAAUAAUCCUCGCUCCCUUUAGUCUAGGAACUGCAAAUGGACAAGGAGCUGGCAUCACUACUACAUAUCUCAUUAAAUAAUGAUGUUUGUUUAACAAACUUAUGGAAGUUUUUACUUCUGAUUUUUUUCUUUUCUUUUUGGGGGAAGCUUGCUAAAUUAGCUAGUUCCUAAGAUUUCUUAGUAGCAUGUGACUUGAGUGAUGUACAAAAAAUACCGAUUUAUUCCAUAUUCUUUAUAACAACUAAAAUAGAGAAGACUGGCCUUGGCUAAGGUGUCAGCCUUGGCUUAGAAAGAUCUGUUCUGCUCCUUAUUAUAGCAGAUUCUUACUCUGUUACGAGGGAAUAGUAAUUGCCAUGUCACUGUGCUGUGAAGGUAAAUAUUGUGAUAAAUGUAAUGUACAGCUACCGUCGUAAAGAAAAAUAAGAUGGGCAGCACUCUCAUAAAGGACCAACAGAUGAGUUAGCACAUGCUAAAGGAGAGUGGCCUUAGGGCCUCCAUUUCUGAGUAUUUUCUGCAACUACGAAACAGUGUUCACUGCUUAAGGAACUUCCACUUUAAGGAAAUUCAUAGUUGUGUCAGUUUUCCUCUUUGGAAAUCUGUUCACUUAGUGGAAUCUACUCCCAAGUAUUCAAAGAAAGUUAGCCAUAGGAGAACCCACUAGAGCUCUGAAACACAAAAUUCAGCCACAUGCGUGCUCAUGGAUAACCCAUGUGCCCAGGGGCUUUAUGAAGACCAUUCCACUGGUUUCAGUGGAAGCCAGACUGGAUCCUAGAAGCUUCUGGAUCUGUCAAAUACUACAUUUAAUUUUCUUCAUCACUGCCAUGUUUCUUCUAGGUGUGGUGAGAGGAACACAGACACCUAGGUCCUGAAUUUAGUGUAUCCCUUCUGUUGCACAUGAAUAAAGUCACAGAAAAAAUAUCAGUCUUGUAUUCUUUCUCACGCUUUUGUUGGCUCAGAGCACAGUUUCGUAUAAAGUGAUGCUACUUUCCCUAUCACUUAACUUAAUCUAGAUUCUGAGGAGACAAGAUACUUGCCCAGCUCUGCGAAAGCAAUCUGGAAUCUUUUGAUAUGA